AUUAGAAAGAAGGAUUAUAGGAAUUAUAAAAUUGAGAUUCAGACCCAGUUAAAUUUUCAGCUGCACCAGCAUAUCUGGUUCCUUUCUAACUCCAUGUGAAUAACAAUAGGUUCAAAAACAAGGUAACAGUUUUCAAAUAUCAAUCCAAACUGACAAUGAAAACUUCACUGUCAGAGGAAGUAUCAUUGUCCGCCAAAGCAGAAAUCAUCUGCUGCUGGAAUGCCAUGAAUGAAAACCUGGCAUUUAGCCUAAAUACCCAUCCAAUAAGAUUCUUGAUCUAUCUAUACCUUCAAGAUAUUGGAUGCCGCCUCCUUUUGGGUCUGCUUCGGUCUUCCUCGUAGUCCAUCACUCCACCAGAUUCAGAGUAGAUCUCUUCAUGGCCUCUGAAGUCAAUGUCGGCCUUGAGGGAAAGGGACUUCUUUACUUCUUCAACCCUGUCUUCCACAUCCUUUCGGUGCUUCUUGUUCAAUUCACUCAUAGUAUCAGCCCAUUUUAUCUUCUCUUGAAUUGAUACAAGUAGAUUCUCUGAUGUAGCCAACCAGUUUGAUAAUGUUUGUAACAUAUUCCCAAGUUGCCCAGGUCUCAGAUCCCUCCCAGCUGCAAA
rnacentral:misc_RNA from 1 species